rnacentral:lncRNA from 1 species
UCUUGACUUUGCUUGCUUCUAAUUUUUAGAUGUUGCCUGUGUCGUUCUCUUAUUUCAAAGGUUGAGAAAUUAAGAUGUGGUAGAAGGGAAAGAGGUCUGCAUUUGGAAUUAGCAGAACUGGUCUUGAAUCUUUUCUCUGUCAGAUACUACCUGUAUGACCUUAGUUUUCCUCAACUUCCUCUACUGGGAGUCUUUCUUUUAUAUGUACAGAGGCAGAGUUGGAAGGGCCUUAGAUGUGCCUGAAUUGGACAACCCAUCUCUAAUUUUAUAAUGGAAUUUGUUAGAGUAAAUGUGGUUCAUUUUAUAAAAAUUUGCUAAAGAGCCAUCUUGGUUGGAAUGUGUCUUCUCAGCAAAGCAGGUUACUGUUUUGGUAGGACACAAAGUCAUUUCCUUGUUCAGGGGAAGCACCUCUCACCUUUAAAGUAGGCACAGCUCAUCUGAGGAAUGUAAGGCUGGUUCCAAAAAUAGCAUAUCUUUAGAACUUGGCUUUUCUUUUUGCAUGGAAUGUUUUGGUUCAGAUACCAUGUGCAAAAACCACUACAGGCAUUGUCAGUCAACAGUUUCUGCUUCUGAAAAGGUUCUUAAAAAUCAUCUUAAGCAUUAUUUUCUUAUUUUGGUUCUCCACUCAAAGCCUUUCCUGGACACCCUGGACAACUGUCAACAACUACCUGAAUAUAUCAAAUGCUUUCAACUGAUCCUAUUGGCUCAGGAGGGAUCUAUCUUCUUUGGCUCAGAUUGGAGCAUGACAAGAAUAUUUCUCAGCAGUAAGGAACAUGGCUUGAAGAUAGAAGAAUGAGACAGCAGGAAGAGUACUGAAUUACUGAGCUUGGCAUCAGAGGACCAGGGUUUGAAUCUCAGCUUGGCCAUUCCCUCUGGUGUGACUUUGAACAAGUCACUCUCUCAUCAUUAAAAAAAGUAUAUAUUUCAUUAAAUACUCCCAAUUACAUGAAAAUUUUAAAACAUAAAAUUAAAAAAAUGGAAUCUCACAUUUUCACUCUCCCUUUCCUACCCCUCAAUAAGGUAAGCAAUAUAUUAAUUAUACACUGAAGUCAUGCAAAACAUAACUCCAUAUUAGCCAUGUUGCAAAAGAAAACAUGUACAAAAAUCCAGGAAAAAUAAAGUUAAAAAGUAUGUUUCA